AUUAUUCCGUUGCAAAUUAGCAACCUUUCAAAUAAAAUUUGACAAAAUUACCGAGAGUAGGCAAAACCAUCUCCCGAAACCUUAAAUGGUCAAAUGGAGCGGAAUCCCCGAUGCUUGCUCCCCUUCUCCAAGUCGGCCAGAUUGGCGCUGAGCUUCAUAGAGGGGAAGAGGCGGCGAUUUUCAGUAGGGAAGGUCCUUCCGCUUCCGCAAGACCGCCCACAUCGAUCUGGAGGUUAGGUACGAGUUAUUUGGCCUUGCGGCUGCUGGAUUCUUCGCUUCCGUUUAAUCGGGGUUGCCGUUUUGUCGAUAACCCCGAUCACCUCCUGGAUUUGUGCAUUCGGGGCUGACCUAUCCGAUUUGCCACUUCGUAAACCUCCUGAAACCCACUGCAUGAUCCCAGCAGGAAGAUGUAGUAGGUGCUGUGUUACGGGAUCUCAACUCUUUGCUCGAUGCAACAGGAAGGGCGAGGCGAAGUAUGGUAAUUCUUGUAGAUCCAGUGCACCAAUGCUAAUGAGUGAUACGGUUUUGCAACAAAAAUUGGUGUAUUUCUGUGUUGGUACAGAGUCACAAUAAGGAAUAUGAGGAGAAACCCGAAUUCUUCCAUACACUAAUAACCUACAUGCCCUACUUAUUGUUAACUUAGCGCUUAUUUCACUGAGUAAUGAUGGCCGAGAGCACCGUUGGUCCUAGUGUCACCUACAUCCUGCCAUGGAGGAUACAUCAAUGCCGCUGAUCUUUGGAAGAAGAACUCAUUCGAUUUCACUUCCUCCCCUUGCUACUAGCUUGGCAGAGAGAGCCAAAGCUUAUCUGCUCCUCACUCUUGAUGAAGCAAGUCAGGUACAAAGUACAAUCCUCAAGUUCUUUUGCUAACUGUUGUUAGGUCCAAUUGAAUCCAUUCAAGUCAAAUUUCUUGCAGUUCUGAGGCCCAUCAUUUGUGUCAUUGAUAUUCAGGUCCAACUUUGCUGCCAUAAUAAAACUGUCUCUCUCACGCCUCUCUUGGUGACUUGGAGGUGUCCUGCUUAGCUUGUCAAGAAACAAAUCCUCACUUCCUCUUUCUUUUGCUUGUAUAUCAAAGCCCAUGCCUCCAAUCUCCUUUCCUCUGUGAGCAGAAAGGCUGAUUGAUAAGAUAUCUUGAUCCUUUUGUGAGCCAUCACAAGCAGUUAAGCAGCUGUCAACUGACCCGUCACCAAGUUGCAUGGUGUGCCCUUGUGCCAUUUGUGAACCUUCCAUCUCAAAACCUGUAAAUGUAUGCUGGAGGCAUUCUGUCGAUACCUUUGAGACUAAUUCUGACAGUUGCAUCUUCGCAGUUUCUAGGCCAACUGACCCUGUAUUCUGCUUUGCAAGUGUAUCCUGUGCCUUUUCUAGCACAGAUUGUAGGUACUUCCCUUGUGCUUCAAUGCGGAGUUGUAAAUGUCUUUGUACCUGUUGAAAGAUAUCAUUAAGUGUGAGGUGUCACGUUAUCAGUACUUGAACUUAAUGACAAACUCCUACUAGACAUAUGCAUCAUUUUCCAUAACAAGUUAUGUACAAGCAGCACAAUGGGGCAUGGGCUCCAAUUUUCCAAUAGCUUGAUACAUGGAAAGAAUAAUUCAUAAUUGGUUAGUUUUUCUGAACAAUACUAUAUCUCCUUAGACCCUAGACGACCAUGACAAGAUAAAGGAGCUAAUUCAUCAUGUGCAGGACAAACUUUGUGGACGCUCUGGAGCUAUAUUUAUGCAAACAUCCCAUACACUUUUUUCCCAUAGAUGUUUUAGAAAUAUAGAAAAUAGAUGAAAUUAGUUCUUGGCUAAAAGAAUUGAGGUGACACACUAAAAUAAUAUUUUUCUUAAUGGAUGGUGAUCGUGGCGUAGUUUUUUUUGAUAUAUGCAAUUAUACAUGACUUGAAUGUCCCUGAAGUUUACUAAAUGGUGAUUAAGCUAUGUAUAUUUUCUUAUUUGGGUGCUAGUAUGUACGUAAAAUCUGGUUUCGGGGUCCUAGUAUAUACUUAAAAUCUGGUUUUGGAUACAUGGAAAGAAUAAAAAUAUGGUUUUCCAUAACAAUUUUCCGAUAGCUCCAAUUUUAAUUACAUACUAGAACACUAAUCGCAGUAAAUCUAGUGUUGAGUCUGUUUUGCUAAAUGUUUUGCCGCACAACCUACUCUAGUGUUCUACUCUAUAUAUCUCCAACUGAUGCAUCAGCUAACAAACUGUGUUAUAUAUUUGCAAGGAAUGUAGAGGUGGUAAUUUAGCUGGUGAUGUGAUUGAUUUUCUUCUGCUUCUGUACCUCUAGUUGCUCAUGCAGUCGGCGCUGUACUUCAAUUUGCAUCUGAAGGGCUUCACCUAUGUGCACAGAUCUGAUAAAAUGCAAAGCCAUGUUAUCUUCUGCCAACAUGCUGAAGCAAACAUUUAUUCAUAUCUUACUUGUUUGUCUGGGUGCCAAGGUUUAGGUGGCUAGCUGGCGAUCCAUUUCCUUCAGGUGGCUUCUCCAUUGCCAUGGUGUAGCCAACCACUGAAGAGCAGAAAAGACGGUCAGUAUUAAGCUUAAUAGGAGGCUGAUAACUGCUAGGUAAUCUGAGAAUGUUAUGCUUACCAUUUUUUGCAUUUCCACCAUUAGCUUUAGCAUGAACAUUUUUGCUUAGUCUGUAUUUCUAGUAAGAGACAAAUCAACUUAGUUUCUUGUCACAAGGCAUGUACAAGGGAAUACACUAUACUAGGAAUUCCAUGUCUACCUGAAGAUGACUCUUAAGGUGAUAUAGUGUUAGUCCAGGGACACCCAUAAGUCUCAUGAUUGUCUUCGGUGUGGCUUCUGCAUAUUAUUACAGAACUUAGAUGGCAAUCUUCCUUGUGUUAACUUGUAUGAUAGGUAGAGGGUUUAAGCAUGUACUUACUAUCAGGUCCACCAAGUUGAUUUACCGCAUCCACAAAGCGCUCAUGUAGUUCAGGUGUCCAUUUUAACCUAGGCUUAGCGUCAGUCGAAAGCACAAGCCCUGGCUCUGCUGGAAUACUCCCUCCUUGCAGAAGUAAGUGCCUUUCUGGAGGGAAUGUCUGCCUAGAAGACAGGAAAUGGCUGUGGCUGUGGAGCUGUUGUUGAUGAUGAUACAUCUGCAAUGAAGAUAUUGCCGCCUUAAGGUUAGGGCCUACAGGAAGAGAUUUCUUCCUUUUCCCCCCUUUGUUUGAGCAAACCGAAUAGCACACACAUGGCACAUCUCAUACCUCUUCAGUUCCGUUUUGUACUGAUAUCUCGUUGCAGACUCCAGAAUCCUGAUUGGAACCGACUCUUGCAGUUUAUGAGCCUUUGUUUUUGGUGAACUGAGGGGUGUUUAUCGCACAAUGGAGCUAUAUUCUUUCGGAGUCUGCUCUAACAAACUAGGACUACUCAUGUCAUGCCAAGAUGUUAUGCAGAGUCUGGUUUUAUAAGGAAGGCAAGUGAGGAGCGAAUUUCGAAUAGUUGGAACAAACACUCAAGCCUGACCCAAUCUUCGCAGCAACUGAAAAGAGGGAAAAGGAAAAGUGGAUAGGCGAAUCUAACGGGGCUGUGCAUCUGUAUGGAGGAGUCCUCUGAGUUUGGUUGCUACCUGUUCUACAUAAGACGCAGAAAGUAGGGGCUUAAAAAUGACGGUUAGUUCCUUUAUUUCACUGCUCUUUGUUGCUUUUGCUUUGUAAGCGCGCCCUAUCCAAACCGAUAUGGUUAUUCUUGUUUAUUCGUCUUCCAUGCUUCAAAGGACUGUCUCAGGUUCAUUGUGAUACCUUUAAGCUCUAACUGACAUGAAGUCCAGUCAUCUGGAAUAGCCGAAUAAGUGGUGCUUAUCAUUGUCUUAUAUAGAGUAUUUUUGUCUA